ACUCUCGCAGCAUGUCGCGAGAGUUCUGCCAUCAAGUCCUGGGCACGCAUGACGGCUAAGACAACUAAAUAUAUGGAUAGGAUUAGCUCUACUUGUCUUGACAAGGCCUGACUCAUAGACCUUCAUUUGUAGGAUAUAAACAACUUGGUCUUUCUGAUCGUCUUUGUUCUUGAUAGGUAGAAUAGAAGAGCCCUUCAAACAUCUAUGGAAUGCAGAGGCUUUUCAAGAGCCAUGCUCGGAGAGCUAAAGAAGGCGCUUAUGCUGAACCGUCAUCUUGCAGCAGGCCCUAAGGCCUAGGAGACGUUGAAUCUGUCUUGCACACUGCACUGGACUGGAACUGAUGUACAAGAUCUGCAAUGGCCUGGAAUCUUGCUUGUGAAGUCAUGUGAUGCCUACCCAACCUAGAAGAAGUUGCGCAGUCUAUUAUCUAUCUAUCAUAUUUUUAUACCGCCUGAUAUGUAAAUCUCUAGGCAGUGCACAAAUCCCAGCAUUAAAAUCAU